UUACUGUACAUUAUUCCACCGAUCUGAACGCUUUAAGCUUUGUAUUUAAUGUUAUUUAUUUAUUUAGUUAAGCUGUAAAUAGUCUAUUCGUUGUACAUAUUAAUUAAGACAACGGUUAUUUUAGCAUGGGAUUCAUGUGGUGUUUAGAAUGUAAUAUGCAUUUAUAAUAAGUUUCCUAGGCAUUCCUAAUUAUUGAAUGGGUCGAAAUGUCAAAGUUUUAUUUGUACACAGUAAUAAAACAAUAAUUCGUCUAGACGUUUAUUUUAUUUAAAAUUUACUUAUAAUAUUGAUUACGAUAAAUAUAACGACAAUGGAGCCUAUAGUUGGCCACGGUAUAGUAGUUAUACAUAUAAAUAUGUACAGCAGUUACCAGUAGGUAAAUAACAAUAUAAUGGAACAAAUUUAAAUGUCACAGGCUCCUCGACCAAUAUAAUCAAAUAGAAGCGGCGUACGUUUCAGCACAGCCUAUGAUUUUCUUAAUCUAACUAAUGGUGCUAUACGACUGGACUGCCGAGCCUUCCAUAAAACCUGAAAAUUACCAAUAUUGAACUACGAAAACGUUAUGGAAAACUCGAACAUUAUCCGGUAAAUAUAUAGACACAGAGCGGGACUUUAUUUAUCACGGAUUUUAUUGUUUAUUAAACAAUAUACAAUCAGAAAAUUACAGCAAAGAAAA